rnacentral:rRNA from 1 species
UAUCACUCAGAUUAGCAAUCUGGCGUCUUCGGCGUCCGAGUUGUAAUUUGAAGAAGGUAUCUUUGGUUUUGGCUCUUGUCUAUGUUCCUUGGAACAGGACGUCACAGAGGGUGAGAAUCCCGUGCGAUGAGAUGCCCAAUUCCAUGGAAAGUUCCUUCGACGAGUCGAGUUGUUUGGGAAUGCAGCUCUAAGUGGGUGGUAAAUUCCAUCUAAAGCUAAAUAUUGGCGAGAGACCGAUAGCGAACAAGUACUGUGAAGGAAAGAUGAAAAGAACUUUGAAAAGAGAGUGAAAAAGUACGUGAAAUUGUUGAAAGGGAAGGGCUUGAGAUCAGACUUGGAAUUUUCCAGCAAUGGAGCUUUCCGGGCCAGCAUCAGUUUGGAUGGCAGGAUAAUUGCGUAGGAAAGUGGCACCACCUCGGUGGUGUGUUAUAGCCUGCGUCGAUACUGCCUAUCUAGACUGAGGACUGCGUCUUUGACUAGGAUGCUGGCAUAAUGAUCUUAAGCC